rnacentral:lncRNA from 1 species
UCUAGAAUUUGCUAUUCUAAACUGUCUCUUUGUUAAUUAUAUGUAUAUCUAUACUCUCUAAAGUUCUUCCAAAUACUUCAUCUAUAUAUAUAAAAGGAUAAAGUUGCGGGCGCAGUGACUAUAACAACAAAACUAAACAUCCCAGAAAUACGAAACUUGGCAACACAAUGCAAAAGGCUUGCCUCCAGGUUACAACAACACAACCACACCACAAAACCACAAUCCAGACCCACAAAACUCACAACAACGCAUCAUGCGAUAACAACACAACUAAACGCCCCAGAAAUACAAAUUUGGCAACACAAUGCAAAAGCCUUGCCUCCCAGUUGUAACAACACAACCACACCACAAUCCGGACCCACAAAACUCACAACAACGCAUCGUGACUAUAACAAAUACAAAACUUGGCACACAACUAAACGCCCCAGAAAUACAAAACUUGGCAACACAACACAAAAAGCCUUGCCUCUCUAUUGUAACAACACAACCACACCACAAAACCACAAUCCAGACCCACAAAACUCACAACAACGCAUUGUGACUAUAACAAAUACAAAAUUUGACAACACAACUCAUCCACCUCCCCAAUCCCUACAUUCACACUUGGCUUCCAAAAAAACAAUUACAAUAAUAACAAUGACAACAACAACAACAAUAAGAAUCAACACCAUCACAGGCAAGAAACAGCCAGGCACUGAGGCUGAGAGGCCAGUCAGUGCUACACUGGGCCUCCAAAAAACAAUACAGUAGCAUCUAACUUAUCCAACCUUCAUGACCACAACAACAACAACAAUAAUAAACACCUACACAGGCAAAACAAAAAAAAGACUAUUGUACCACAAUAAAAAUAUAAACCGCACUCAGCAGAAUCAGACAUUACAACUAACAACAAACCAAAGACAACAGGGAUCUCAAGCAAUUAUCAAUCAACACAAAAAUUGAAGAAGGUAACAGACUUCAAAUACUACUACUAAUGUGAGUAUAAAGAAGGUGGAGGUCACAGCAUAAAUACAACCUAAUGUAGACUGACCAACACCACCAGACUAAGCCACAGCAACGCGUGGCCGGGCACAGCUAGUGGACUUAUAAAACACAUAACAUGAGAAAAUUAUUUCAUAUAUUAGAUUAUUCCUAUCA